UGAGCUUCCUAGGCAAGCGCUCUACCACUGAGCUAAAUCCCCAACCCCCAAUCAAUAUUUUUAAUUUGAAUGAGUCUCUGGUCUCUUCCCAGGGGUCACAAACACCACAAAAGGGGGAGCCAGGUAUGGCCUGGCCCUACAGAGGGCUCAGGAGUCACCUGGGCUUUUAGUGACCUCCACUCCCUUCUGGGCAGACAGGAAGUCAUACAUCUCUUUCUUUGAAGAGGCAACCCAGCCUGUCUGACAUUCCUGCUUUCCCUAGUGGUUACCCAUGAGCAUAAGGUCUUGGGAUAUGUAAUUUUUCCCUGCCUUUCUAUGCUGUGAAUUCCAUGGUCUUUCCAUCCUUGUCCCCUCACAUCCCCUGCCCCACGCCUCCCCAGAGGGCUUUCUCCAGGUGUCAGUCAGCAGUGGGCCAUGGGGGUUAUUAGAGCAAGUUAUGACAGUCAUGCAACGGAUGGGACAGUUUCUUAUACAGUUCAGCUUGUUCCUGCUCUGAGGCUAAUGAAUUCGCUUGCUCCUGAACAGUACUCAGGCCUGCCUUUCUUUCACUCUUUCUCCUCUUCAAUCUAAACCACAUGAAGGUACGGCCAAAUGUCCUCCCGCACUCUAAGGGGGUUCUUUGUGGUCCAUGACUUUGCACUCCUAGAAUCGUGUUCACCCUAAAUGCUUCCUGGGAAUGGUAGGUACUUUAUAGCUUUUUGGGGGACGCUACAUCACUGAGAAUGUUUGUGUUCUGUCUUCUGCUAGGCUGGCCCUUUCCAAUGAGCCAAAUUCAGGCAGGGAGUCUUUCCCACUUUCAAGCCAACUGGCUGGCCUGUAGUCACCUAGCUUCAGUGUCCUUGAGACAGCCAAUGCCAGUUUUAUACACUUGAUUUUAAAUCACUUGCACAACAGUUUUUUUGAGACAGGGUUUCUCUGUGUAGCCCUGGCUGUCCUGGAGCUCGCUCUGAGGACCAGGCUGGCUCAAACUCAACAGAUCUGGCUGCCUCUACUUCCCACGCACUGGGAUAAGAGGUGUGCACCACCACCGCCCAGCUCAGUGAUUCAAGAAUGAAAUUACAGGCAUAGGCGGGCUGAUGCCUUUAGUCUCAGCACUCAGGAGGCAGAGGCAAGGGGAUCUCUGAGUUUGAAGAUAGCCUGGUCUACAGAACUAGUGCCUAACAAAACCCUCUUCAGCUUGGUACCCUGCUUCUGGACCCGAGGUGUUUUCCUGAUUCUUGGGGGUUUACCUCAGGACCAUCUGCAAAUAAACAGUGCAUUCAUGACACCCGAAUUCACACCCCACACCCCCAGCCCCUAGCCGAGGUUUCUCUGUGUAGCCCCUGGCUAUCCUGGAACUGCUCUGUAGACCAGGUUAGCCUUGAGCUUGAGAGAUCUGCCUGCCUCUGCUUUCCAGGCGAUGGGAUCAACGGUGUGCACCGCUGUGCCUGGCCUAAUGGCUCUUCUGCUUCUCCAGCAUGACUCGUCUGUCACCUUUCUCUUGUAGGAGUGGGUCUCCCUCCAUCCUGCAACCUGACUCUAUACACCCUCUCAGUUCAGCUAUGUCACUUUAACCAGUGACUGACUGCAUGUUGCAUGAUAUAACGUGUGUGGCCGGCUGAACCAUGAGCUGCCUUUAGACAGGUCUUCAUUCCUUGGGCGCUAUCUGAGACCUGGGGAUUAAUCAUUGUGUUUCUUUGAACUUGUCUCUGCGCUCAUCCGUGUGUGCCUUCCCUGGCACCUCUGACUGGAGCCUCAACCAUUCCGUUCCUUCAUUUGCCCUGGUUCCGGUUCCUUCUGGGUGUAGAGCUCUCACCUUGGGAGCCAUCUCGUGAGAGUCACAUCCUCCUGUUUCUUGGGAUGAACCCUCCCACACUCCUGUGUGCAUUCCUGCUAGUCCGGAAAUCCAGGAACCCAGAGCCUUGUAAAGGUUAGUCAACUGCUCUGCCAUUAAGCCACAGUCCAGCCAAAUGUCUUCCUCUGGUGCCCAGGCUGCCCUGGGAACCUGCACUGGUGACCUUCUGAGGGUUGGGAUUAUACAGGUGUGAAACAACUGGCCCCAAAUUCCUCCUUAAAGAGUCGCAGAUACUCCAGGCUGACCUCAAACUCUCUAGGUAGUCCAGAGAAGGACCCUGAGCUUGAUUCUGCAUUCUCCACCUCCAGAGAGCUGGGAGUAUAAACAGGCAAUACCAGGACCAUGGUGCCGGGGACUGAGGUCGGGGGCCGGGUGUAUGCCCCACAAGUGCUCCACUUAACUGAGCCUCAUCUCCAGCCUGGCUUUGGCUCAGUGGGUAGAGUUACUGGUCACCCAGCCUAACCACUGAAAUUUGAACCCCUGGACCCACCACCUGUGAGCAUCGGCUCCUGCAGGGACCUCUGACCUUCAUGCAGGUGUGCUCACUUGAUGAAGGUAAUUUUAAGAGAAUUAAAAGGUAUGAAAAUGUCUAACUCUCCCUCGUACCUUUGAUCACAUGGGUCCAGAAAUAGGAUCCCAUUAGCCUGGCGUCUUGUAGCUUGUGGAGCUGGCUGGAGGAUCCUGCCAUUCCAACUCUUGACCCUGUGUUUCUCCCCUAACCCCCUCCCCAUUUCCAGGAUUCCCACCCCCACCCCCAUGCUCUGAAAUUGUGCAAGAUGUGCAAGAUACUUGUUCACUUCUGUGCUGGCUUUUCCUUUGGGAUCCUAUGUCCAUGAGCCUGGGGAUGUUUUUUGUUGUUAUUAUUAUUAUUAUUAUUGCUGUUGUUGUUACUAUUACUAUUGUUAUUUAUUACUUUCUCCCAUGUCAUGGCGAUGCUGGCUGUGGGGCAAUAAACAAGGGAAUCUGAUGAAGAUGGCAGCCCAUACGACCAACCCUAGGUCCCACUGUCCCCCCAUACUUGCAUCCUUGGUAGCAGAUUUGGGGAACACUUGAGGGAAUCUGAGUAUCUUUAGGGGAGGCUCUCUAAAGCAGUGGUUCUCAACCUUCCUAAUGCUGCGACCCUUCGACACAGCUCAUCACGUGGUGGUGAACCCCCUGACCAUAAAGUUAUUAUUUUUUUUCUUUUUUUCGGAGCUGGGGACAGAACCCAGGGCCUUGCACUUGCUAGGCAAGCGCUCCACCACUGAGCUAAAUCCCCAACCCCCCAUAAAGUUAUUUUUAUCCCUACUGCAUGGCUGUAGUUUGGCUGUUAUGAAUCAUAAACCUGUAUUUCCUGGUGGUCUUAGGGGGCUCCUGUGAACGAGUCAUUAGGCUCCCAAAGGCAUUGAGACCCACAGGUUGAGAACCAGCGCUCUAAAGCCAGGCACUUAACUGUCCCACACAAAUGAGUGUGACUCCUUCCAGCCUGACCAGGGAACAUUCAGGUGGCUCUGCUCUGGGGUAUGGGCUAAGAUCUUUGGGCUCAUCAGUCGGUCACCUUGCUGCCUUGGGACCCUGAUUGCUGACACGGGUUCUGGGCACUUGGUUUGCCAAUAUGGAUGCUUCAUGGCACCAUGGUCCUGGUGUGGGAGAGACCCUGCUUAUGACUGAGGACCCAGCUCAUUGGGUAGGUUCAGAGUUUCAUGAACACGCCUGACUUCUAGUCCAGGCUCUGGAACACUCACCAGCUCUCCCUCUCAACCCUCUUCCCUAGGCAAGCAAUGCCCACCCAAGUCACUGAGUGGCCUGGGGGUUGGAGCCAGGUGAGCUGAGGUGACAAGGUGUGUCUGUGACAGCCUAGGGACACUCUGUGUCACGAGACCAGAGACACACUCCAAGGGCAUGUUCUUUCCUUCAGUAUUUGCUCACCUGGAUUGCAGGUCAUUGAGAACUGGGGAAUGUGUGGCAAGCAAGACACUGGACACGGGGGACUUCUCUGGGCAGCUUCCUCUCACAGGGCAGAGCUUAAAGACUUGAGGGGCUUGAGGAGUCACCAUGAUCCAUUGUUGCCAUUUUAGACAGGAGGGGCUGGGAGCGCUGGGCCCAGAGCCAGCAGAAGCCACAUUAACAAUUAAGGUCUUUGCCUCAUUCAUUCCCCAUCCUUGCAUGAAAUAUUCAGACACCAGAGGAGCUCGGUCUCGGAUCUCUGCAGUGUGUGUGUGUAUGUGCCUGUGCUUUGGACUGCUACUUGUAGCUUUGGGCUUGAGGUAGCACCCGAGGCCAGGCAUGCAGAGCAUCUGGAAGCUGCUGGGCUGGAUGGCAGGAGCAGCUGCCAGCUGUCAUAGGGAUAUACAUAGCCUGACUCAAAGCUGCAUUUGGAGCCUGGAACUUAGCACCUAAGCGAACCCUAUGCUGUGGGACUGCCCUCUGAACCUGACAGCCACUGCUAUCUGCUUCACAGCAGCUGUGACCCUCAACACUGGGUCAGUUGACAUUCCCUCAAAGGAGGAGGGUUGGGGAGGGCGGUUAGGUACCCCCACGCUCCCCGCUCCGCUCCCCGACAGACAUUCCAGCCACUUCCUCCUACACCACCUUUCUCAUGGGUCACUGGCCAACUUAUUCCUGGUUAGUUAGACUA
rnacentral:sRNA from 1 species